CAGUAGCCGCGGGAAUACGUAGGGUGCAAGCGUUAAUCGGAAUUACUGGGGGUAAAGCGUGCGCAGGCGGUACGCUAAGACAGAUGUGAAAUCCCCGGGCUUAACCUGGGAACUGCAUUUGUGACUGGCGGGCUAGAGUAUGGCAGAGGGGGGUAGAAUUCCACGUGUAGCAGUGAAAUGCGUAGAGAUGUGGAGGAAUACCGAUGGCGAAGGCAGCCCCCUGGGCCAAUACUGACGCUCAUGCACGAAAGCGUGGGGAGCGAACAGGAUUAGAUACCCCAGUAGUCCCUGUCUCUUAUAC
rnacentral:rRNA from 1 species